GCCCGUCGCUCCUACCGAUUGGAUGACUCGGUGAAAUCACCGGAUGCUUACGAGCAGAAAGUGAUUAAAUCACGUUAUCUAGAGGAAGGAGAAGUCGUAACAAGGUAACGGUAGGUGAACCUGCCGUUGGAUCAGUUCUAGUUUUAAUAACUAACACCAACUUCUUUUAUUAAACAAAAACCAAUACAAAAUUAAAAACUAACUCAUCAAAAACCAAGUCUC
rnacentral:rRNA from 1 species